rnacentral:tRNA from 1 species
GCUACUAGAGUUUUUUUUAGAAUGUGAAUUUUGUAAAUUUGAGGUUUUUGGUGGCU